UUGUGUACCCAAGGUGAGCCAGCUAGGCUCCAGAGGAGAGUUCUGCAGACACACAGAUAGCCCUGGUUAAAAUCAGUGGUUCACAAAACAGAACAAUAUACCAGGAGCUGGUAAGGGACUUGUACGGAGGAGAGGGAGGGAUGGGAGAGUAAGAGAGGGUGGAAGGGAUGCAAGUAACCAAAUGAACUAUGUACUUGUAUGAAACUGUCAGGAAAUAGAUUCAACUAAUAGAAAGGAAGAGAGAAAGAAUACAAUGGGAGGAAUAUUUGGGGGUGGAAGGACACUAACAAAAGAUUGCUGGGUGACAGGCUUUAUUUAUUUAUUUAUUUAUUUAUUUAUUUUAUUGGUAGAGAUCUGAAUAUCUAUAUAACCCAGACAGGGAAUGAACAACACAUCAAAGUUUGGUGAACCAAUGGCUUUUUUAUUGGUGUUACUUGCAGGAGUAUGGUGAGCAGUUACAGAAAGAAACCACUCAAAGAAAGCUGCAUCACAAAACUCCAUCUCAGGGUGGGAGCCAGUUCUGGGAAGCUGCAGGACACUAGCUCACCAGG
rnacentral:lncRNA from 1 species